GCGGAUCAGUUGAGGUCAGAAUUCGAAACCAGCCUGGCCAUCACGGUGAAACCCUGUCUCGAUUAAAAAUACAAGAAAAUUAGCUGGGCGUGGUGGUGGGCGCCUGCAAUUCCAGCUACUUGGGAGGCUGAGGUGGGAGAAUCCCUUCAACCUAGGAGGCAAUGAUCCGAGAUCGCACCACUGCACUCUAGUAUGGGCCACAAAGCGAGACUCCCCCACCAAAAAAAGACAAAAAUUAGGCAACCUGUCCAAAAACACAGCAGCGAUAAUUAGCAAAGCUGGGAUUCCAACCCAGGCCUAUCUCACAGCCACAGCAUAGUAUUUUCUUUUUUUUCUUGCUGUGACUGCACCUUACGCCAUAGAUGGCAUCCAGGACGCAGAGCAGUCAGUAUUUAGGUACUGUUUUUCACAUUCCUUACAUGGGAAUCACGUCAACAGGAUUCAAUUUGUGACUCAACCAUUAAUACUUUGUGACACUGGCUAAUUUAUUGCACUUCUGGGUCUCGGUUAUGCUUUUUGUGGGGGGAGGGGAGGGCAGGGUCUCGCUCUGCUCUGUCACCGGAGCUGGAGUUUAGUGGAGGGAUCUCUGCAGCCUCAACUUCCUGGGCUAUCAAGCGAUCCUUCCACCGCAGCCUCCCCAGUAGCUGGGACCACAGGUGCGCGCCAUCAUGCCUGGGUGAUUUGUAAAAUUUGUUUGUUUAUUUUAAACAGAGUCUCGCUCUGUCGCCCAGGCUGGAGUGCAGUGGUGCGAUCUGGGCUCACUGCAAGCUCCGCGUCCCAGGUUCACGCCAUUCUCCUGCUUCAGCCUCCCGAGUAGCUGGGACUACCGGCGCCCGCCACCACGCCCAGCUAAUUUUUUGUAUUUUUUAGAAAAGACGGGGUCCCUGUGUUAGCCAGGAUGGUCUCGAUUUCCUGACCUCGUGAUCCGCCCGCCUCGGCCUUCCAGAGUGCUGAGAUUACAGGCGUGAGCCACCGCGCCCAGCAAGUAAAAUUUCUUUUGUAGAGACAGUGAUCUUGCUUUGUGGCCCAGGCUGGUCUCGAACUCCUGGCCUCAAGGAAUCCUCCUGCGUGGGUCUUCUAAAGAUUCAGCUGCUUUUGGAUCAACCGAUCGCCUUAAGACCCUUUAACUCGAACAACUGUCACAUCCUCGGAUCCGCGAAGGGCUGAAACUCAAAGAGUUUUUGAAGCGUCCCUCGGCGCAGUGGCUCCGCUCCACCUCCCAUUCGCGCUACCACCGCGGUCGCAGCGCCAGGAUCGCCAGGGGGCCAGCGUCGCUCUCCCGCUGCUGCGCGCCGGAAGCCGGAAGCAGGGACUGAGCCACAGACUAGGAAAGGCAGGCUUCUCCGGGGCUCCCCAGUGCCCUAGCUUUAGCCUGGAGGCCGCCCUCUUCUAUUUGCUCUUAGACGUCACGGGGGCACCCCAGUCCCCUCGACCCUUUGGAUCCGGCUCACAUUUCCUCCGGUGAAGAGCCAAAGGCCCCGGAAGUGACGUUUGCACGGCUUGCGUAUCGUGCGUGCGCAGGCCGCGCCGGGGGCGGGGCUAGCAGGAGGGUGUGUGUGGGGCGGGAGCGGACAACGGAGACCAGACCUACUGCAGCCACGCGGGCGAGCGGCUGUGUGGAUGUCGGCGAAGCCGCGGGCGAGGAUGCCUGGGGCGUGGGGGGCAGAAUGUCAGCCGGCAAAGUGGGGACCGGAGUACCCGGGAAGCUGGGAUGAAGGAGCCUCCUCUGCAGCCUCGGUGGAAGAUGGGGCCAAGGGAAAGUCCAGAGCCUGGGCCAUCUCCAGCCUCACUCACCCUCCUCCCUCACCUGGUCCCUGGGCUGAGGAUCAUGGCCCGGCCUGAGAACCCCCAAGGCAGCAUGCAGAGGCCGGGUCUGCACCGAGCCCUGACACUGACAGGCUGUGUGACGACGACUGACAACUAACCCUCUCUGGUUUUACUUUCUAUCACCUCUUAGGCAGAGCAGUGGGCGCAGAUGCCAUGGCGGGAAGCAGGCCUUUCUGAAUUCUUAGCAGCGAUCUCCAGGGGCACUCUAACCUUGCAAGAAAGAGGCUGCCAGUCUUGCAUCAGAUGCAGAAACCAGGGCGCAGAGUAGCCUGCCCCUCCUGUGACUUCCCCGUCUCGGGAAAUGGCACCAUCAUCAUCUACCUGGUGGCUCCGGCCAGAAAACAGGGAGGCAUCUUUGGAUCAUCUCACCCUCACCACCCACACCCGGGCCACCACCAAGACUCUUCAAUUCUACCUCCAAAAUAAAUCCCUACCCCACUUCCCUCUGUUCUCGUUGCCACCCCUGUGUCAAGCCAUCACCAGCUUGGCCCUGGAGGCCAGCACAGCCUCCUUCCCGCCUCCCUGCCUCCUCUCUACCCCCAACAGCCAGAAUAACUUGCAGAAAAUGUAAAUCAGGCCCCAUCUCAUUCUCCUUCUUAAACCGCCCCUUUCCCCAAGGGCUUCCUAUUGCAUUUGCACCAAAAUCGACACCCCCCAAAUAGCUCUGAGGUUCACCAUGACCUGGUGCUGCCUCACCUCCUCCAAUUUCACUGUCCCCUAGUUCUUUUCCCCUGGAAUCUGUGUGUUUGCAUAAGCUGUUCCCUUUGCCUGGAUGCUCUUCCCUGCAAUUCUUUCCCCACUGGUCCCUUCUCAUACUUUAGGUCUCAGCUGGGAGCUUACUUAAACUUUUUUGUUUGAGAUGGAGUCUCAUGCUGUCACCCAGGCUGGGUGACAUAGUACCUAGAAGAGGAGAUGACAUAUUGAUGGAAUUUAAUAAAUGGGCUUAUUGAAUGAGAUGAUUUUUUUUUUUUUUUUUUUUUUUUUUUUUUUGGCUAGAGGACACAAAGACAGCCAGAGAAAUUCCAAAUAACACACACUGGCUGGAUGAAAUUGCUUCAGUGAUAGAUAUUUAAACAAUUUUUAUUUUUAGCUGGGCGCGGUGGCUCACACCUGUAAUCCAAGCACUUUGGGAGGCCAAGGCGGGUGGAUCUCUUGAGGCCAGGGGUUCAAGACCAGCUCACUACAGCAUGAUGAAACCCCAUCUCUACUAAAAAUACAAAAGUUAGCUGGGUGUGGUGGCUCGCGCCUGUAAUCCCAGCUACUCAGGAAGCUGAGAUAGGAGAAUCGCUUGAACCCGGGAAGCAGAGGUUGCAGUGAGCCGAGAUGGCGCCACUACACUCCAGCCUGGGUGAUAGAGCAAGAUUCCGUCUCAAAAAACAAAACAAAAUUUUAUUUUUAUUUAUUUAAUACACAUACGUAUACACACACACACACACACACACACACACACAUAUGUGCUCUGAUGCACUGGAGCUUCCACUGGUCUUACUUAAUGUGUGUGAUACUCUCAUUAUUUAUGUAUCUAUAUAUAUCUAUAUCUAUAUUUAUAUAUAUAUAUAGAGAGAGAGAUAGAGAGAUGGGAUCUUGCUGUGUUGCCCAGACUGUCUCAAGCUCCUGGCCUUGGGCAAUCUUCCCACCUUGGCCUCCCAAAAUGCUGGUAUUACAGUAUUUAAUUUUUAGGUGUUUUUUGUUUUUUCGGGGGCUGCAUUUUUGGAGAUAGGGUCUUGCUAUGUUGCCCCGGGUGGAAUGUAGUGGCUGUUCACCAGUGCCAUCAUAGCUCACUGCAUCCUUAAACUCCUGGCUCAAGCAGUCUUCUCCCCUCAGCCUCCUGAAUAGCUGGGACUACAGGCAUGUGCCACCACACCUGGCUAUCCUACGCAAUAUGAGACCAGGAAGUUGUCAUCUGUGUGGAGAGGAAUAAGUGUAAUCCCACAUAGGGGGGUAGUCUAAAACAACAUGGAGAGUACCUUUAGACCUGGAUUUCGGGGCUCAGCCUUGCCAUGGGAAGGAGGCAUGGUGUGUAGCAGUGGUUACCAGACUUCUUUCAGUAGUUUAAAG
rnacentral:lncRNA from 1 species